rnacentral:rRNA from 1 species
AGGACGAACGCUGGCGGCGUGCUUAACACAUGCAAGUCGUGGGCAUGGGGUAACCCAUGACCGGCGAACGGGUGCGUAACACGUGAGCGACCGUCCCUACGUGAGGGGGAUAGCCGGCCCAACGGCCGGGUAAUACCGCAUACGCUUGGCAGGGGGCACUCCCCCGCCAAGGAAACCUCAGGGGCACGAGGACGGGCUCGCGGCCUAUCAGCUAGUUGGCGGGGUAACGGCCCACCAAGGCGACGACGGGUAGCUGGUCUGAGAGGAUGGCCAGCCACAUUGGGACUGAGAUACGGCCCAGACCUCCUACGGGAGGCAGCAGGUGGGGAAUAGUUGCGCAAGUGGCCGAAAGCUGACGCAGCGACGCCGCGUGUAGGAGUGACCGUCCCGUUCGGGUGUAAACGUACUUGGUUCGCCCGGGGACGAAACGAGGAGUAUUUAGACUCUCCCGUGGACGGUACCGGGUGAAGGAAGCG